UACAGAGGUCCCGAGCGUUGUUCGGAUUCACUGGGCGUAAAGGGUGCGUAGGUGGCUGGGAAAGUUUGAUGUGAAAGCUCAGGGCUUAACCCUGAAAUGGCAUUGAAUACUGCCUGGCUGGAGGUUUGGAGGGGGGACUGGAAUUCUUGGUGUAGCAGUGAAAUGCGUAGAUAUCAAGAGGAACACCAGUGGCGAAGGCGAGUCCCUGGACAACACCUGACACUGAGGCACGAAAGCUAGGGGAGCAAACGGG
rnacentral:rRNA from 1 species